ensembl:lncRNA
AGAUAUUGUUGCCUAGUUAGCUAGCCCUUUUCUGUACUUUUCUGUAUAUAUUGUUCGCCGGUUAGCUAGCCCCGUUCUUUAUAUUUUGUUAGCCGGUUAGCUAGCCCUGUUCUGGCCCUCGUUUUUCUGUUAGCUGCUGUGAGGGAACCGACGGCUGAACCGGGCCAAGGAGAGACCGAACCUACAACAGUCGGGGCUGAAGCAGCUCUGAGAUCACACCCUGAUGGAGCUGCUGGUGGUGAGACUGAUGCUUUCAGGUACCAGGUGUAUCCCACCUGCAGAAACACUUUGGGGGUUCUGGGAUUGUCCGUCACCAUGGAGACUUGGGCCACUAAGUUCAGGUGAGUCCAGAUGAGUUUAGCUGUGAGUCUCCAGGUGAAGCCGAAUGACAGCAGCUCCUGCAGCUCCGAGCCGAUGGAGGCCAAGAUCGAGGACUUCCUGUGGAGCUUCGGCGAGUGUCUGGCGGCACUGAGUGGAGACGCCUUCAACACCCAGGGGAUGGCGCUGAUAAAGCCGAGGAAGUGUGAAGACGCUCACCUGCAGAAGGAAGUGGACCACAACUGCUUCAAGGUGGUGACACAACAGUACCUGUUCAGCCGGCUACACAAGGAGAUCCCAGAUGCUGAAGGACGUGACGCUGAUCAGUGACAUCAGAAGCUUCACCUCCACGCUGCCACUGCAUCCCUACCACAAGAUCCUCAGCCAGGCCCCGCUCCUACCACAAGAGCCUCAGCCAGGCCCCGCCCCUACCACAAGAUCCUCAGCCAGGCCCCGCAACUACCACAAGAGCCUCAGCCAGGCCCCACCGUUACCACAAGAGCCUCAGCCAGGCCCCGCCACUACCACAAGAGCCUCAGCCAGGCCCCGCCCCUACCACAAGAUCCUCAACCCGGCCCCGCCCCUACCACAAGAUCCUCAACCAGGCCCCGCUCCUACCACAAGAUCCUCAACCAGGCCCCGCCCCUACCACAAGAUCCUCAACCCGGCCCCGCCCCUACCACAAGAUCCUCAACCAGGCCCCGCUCCUACCACAAGAUCCUCAACCAGGCCCCGCCCCUACCACAAGAUCCUCAACCCGGCCCCGCCCCUACCACAAGAUCCUCAACCAGGCCCCGCUCCUACCACAAGAUCCUCAACCAGGCCCCGCUCCUACCACAAGAUCCUCAACCAGGCCCCGCCCCUACCACAAGAUCC